rnacentral:rRNA from 1 species
UUUUGGGAGGAUUGACAGAUUGAGAGCUCUUUCUUCAUUCGGUGGAUAGUGGUGCAUGUCCGUUCUUAGUAGGGGAGCGAUUUGUCUGGUUAAUAUCGAUAACGAACAAGACUCUAGUUUAAUAAAUAGGUGCGUGGUUCUCUGACUCUUUACCCUUCUCAGAGGGACACGCGGCUCCUAGCCGCACGAAACAGAACAGUAACAUGUCUGUGAUGUCCUUAGAU